rnacentral:rRNA from 1 species
UACGUAGGGCGCAAGCGUUAUCCGGAAUUAUUGGGCGUAAAGAGCUCGUAGGCGGUUUGUCGCGUCUGCCGUGAAAGUCCGGGGCUCAACUCCGGAUCUGCGGUGGGUACGGGCAGACUAGAGUGAUGUAGGGGAGACUGGAAUUCCUGGUGUAGCGGUGAAAUGCGCAGAUAUCGGGAGGAACACCGAUGGCGAAGGCAGCACUCUGGGCCGGCACUGACGCUGAGGAGCGAAAGCGUGGGGAGCGAACAGG